UACGUAGGUGGCAAGCGUUGUCCGGAAUUAUUGGGCGUAAAGCGCGCGCAGGUGGUUCUUUAAGUCUGAUGUGAAAGCCCACGGCUCAACCGUGGAGGGUCAUUGGAAACUGGGGAACUUGAGUGCAGAAGAGGAUAGUGGAAUUCCAAGUGUAGCGGUGAAAUGCGUAGAGAUUUGGAGGAACACCAGUGGCGAAGGCGACUAUCUGGUCUGUAACUGACACUGAGGCGCGAAAAGCGUGGGGAGCAAACAGGG
rnacentral:rRNA from 1 species